CCUACGGGUGGCUGCAGUGGGGAAUAUUGCACAAUGGGGGAAACCCUGAUGCAGCGACGCCGCGUGAGUGAAGAAGUCUCUCGGUAUGUAAAGCUCCAUUAGCAGGGAAGAAAAUGACGGUACCUGUUUACUUCGCCCCGGCUCCCUACGUGCCAGCAGCCGCGGUCAUACGUAGGGGGCAAGCGUUAUCCGGAUUUACUGGGUGUAAAGGGAGCGUUGAUGGCAGCACAAGUUUGGAGUGAAAUGCCGGGGCUUAACCCCGGAACUGCUUUGGAAACUGUGCAGCUAGAGUGCAGGAGAGGUAAGUGGAAUUCCUGGUGUAGCGGUGAAAUGCGUAGAUAUUAGGAGGAACACCAGUGGCGAAGGCGGCUUACUGGACUGUAACUGACGUUGAGGCACGAAAGCGUGGGGAGCGAACAGGAUUAGAUACCCCAGUAGUC
rnacentral:rRNA from 1 species